CCGGGUGGCAGGGACCCCCACGUGGCAGCCCCCAGGCUCGCUUUCUCUGGCUCAUCCACCUUCUAGAAGUUUCCCCAGACCCUCAGUAGGAGUGGGCACUGCUGCGGGUGUGCGUUGUGUGUCCUCGUGCCCCAUGUGACGUUGCACGACUAACCGCACUCUGUGUUUGCACCCUUCCUCCCGCGCUCAUGGGACCAGGUAGCGUGGCGGGAACGCAGGGGCUGGAUUCUGCUACAGUCAGGACUUGCUCCUGAUGUGCUUCGGGUUUACCUGCACGAAUUCUCCAGAUGUUUAUACAGCAUCCAGUAUACAACAAAGACUACAUUUUGAACUCGAUGUAAUCUUUACUCUGUUAAUACUUGUUACAUGGACCCGAAGAUAUUACAGGGUUUUUAAUUAGUGAAAAAUUCAUGAAUACCAUAGAGAAAAUAUUUUAGAAUUUAAUGUUUCUGAUAUUUAUGUAAACUUAUGACUUCAUUUAUAUAAUUACUUCCUUUUUCUUGUCUAUUCAGGCUAUGAAUAUCCUUUCAGACCAAUUCAUGUUCUGAUACCUGAUUUCAGUCUUUCAAAUGAAUGUACUGUAGUGCUUGUCUGUAUAAAUCCUAUGAACAAACACAGGGCUUUUGUAAAUGAUGCAUUUAUUGUAAUUAUUCUUGUUUAAUUUUUCAAUGUUAAACCAUGAGAGAAGGGGUUUUCCUGCGAUUGUAAAAUCAUCAUGACACGGUGUGCUUUAUUAUCCUUCCAGAAUGUAACCAAGCUCUCCAACAAUCACUCUGAAAUAAGCAAACUUAAUUUCAACCAAUUGUUGUUGUAUGUUAACGACUGGCCUAAACUGUACUUUUUCUAGCAAGAAAUGCUUUUUGUCUGCAGCGUGAAGUGAUUUAAAAGUACUGGGUGUUAAAUGUGAGCUUCUAAUGAAAUUUGGGCUGAAAGGAUGCCUAGAAGACUAUGAAAAUCUGUGGACCUGGAUCCCUCCUGUCUGGUGAGACUCUUUGGGGACCAAUCGCGAUGCCCUGCACCCGCUGCAGAGCCAUCGAGCUGGACAGUGAAGGUGCCACUUCCCAGACAGACAAGGUAGUGUAGCUCUGUCAAAGGCCUUAUUUUUAUGUAAAUCAUCUUUUUACAUGAUUGUAAACAUGUUUAAAGAAUGGACCUAGGUGUACAUUUUUAGAUUGUGAUGACAUAGCCAUUCUGGAUUGUAUAAGUAGCAAAUGUAAUUUUUACUUUUUCAGUGGCACAUUAAAAAAGCCAGCAAGAGAUGCGUUCAGGUCACAGUGUGGUAUUUAUUAUGCAGCUGGUAUCUUGGUAGACAGAGACAGCAUGUCUCUUUACAUGUGGGUUCCGCCUUUAAUUUACUUGUACAAUUCAUUGUUAUCAUUCUAUUUUCCUAUUAAUCUUUUGUGAACUUCCCGAAUAUGUGACAAAGUAUGUACAGUCUACUUUUGAACUAUUUUUAUCACAGUAUUAUUUAUUGCUUUCUUUCAAUAAAGUACUGAAGCAAAAUUUCCCA
rnacentral:lncRNA from 1 species